GCAGGCACUCCUGGCAAGAUGAGGUCCCUAUCUCAGAUCCUGUGCUUUCUGCUGCUCUUCAUCUCAGGUGUGAAAAUGGGCACUGCCCUCACCCAGUCCCCAGCUCUCCUGGCUGUGUAUCCUGGGGAAAGAGCCACCAUCACCUGCACAAGCAACCCCAAGGAGAACUCCAAGUUUUCUUGGUACCAGCAGAAACCAGGCCAGGCCCCUAAACUCCUGGUGCAUGGCACAUCCACCCUGGCUUCAGGAGUCCCAGCAUGGUUCAGUGGCAGUCAUUUGGGAGCAAAUUUUACCCUCACCAUCAGCAACAUGGAGACAAAUGAUGCUGGCACUUAUUACUGUGUUGAGUGGCCAGGAGAUCACAGUGACACAUCCCUGAACAAAAACCCUCACAGCUGCGGAGAGAAGUGGCACCUCAUGAUGCAUGAAGCCCAGGGUCUUGAGUGUGACUGCCGCUCCUCUGAGGCACUGUGUUUGUCCUGUCACCUGCAGAAACACCUCCCAAUGGUACCCAAUGAUACAGCACUGCUCUUCCAGAAGAAAGGUGGUGGAGCUUGGUGACAUCCCUGGAGGAUUCCAGGGGGAAGGUCAGACAUGGAGCAUGUGCUUUGACUGAGCAGGUGCCCUUCCAUAGCAUGUCUGCAUGGAGCCAUGAGAACACAUCAGA